rnacentral:rRNA from 1 species
CUUUUGGGACGGAGCUGAGAGAAGCUUGCUUUUCUUAGCUUAGUGGCGAACGGGUGAGUAACGCGCGAGUAACCUGCCCUGGAGUGGGGGACAACAGUUGGAAACGACUGCUAAUACCGCAUAAGCCCACGAUCCGGCAUCGGAUUGAGGGAAAAGGAUUUAUUCGCUUCAGGAUGGACUCGCGUCCAAUUAGCUAGUUGGUGAGGUAACGGCCCACCAAGGCGACGAUUGGUAGCCGGACUGAGAGGUUGAACGGCCACAUUGGGACUGAGACACGGCCCAGACUCCUACGGGAGGCAGCAGUGGGGGAUAUUGCACAAUGGGGGAAACCCUGAUGCAGCGACGCCGCGUGGAGGAAGAAGGUUUUCGGAUUGUAAACUCCUGUCGUUAGGGACGAUAAUGACGGUACCUAACAAGAAAGCACCGGCUAACUACGUGCCAGCAGCCGCGGUAAAACGUAGGGUGCAAGCGUUGUCCGGAGUUACUGGGUGUAAAGGGAGCGCAGGCGGACCGGCAAGUUGGAAGUGAAAACUAUGGGCUCAACCCAUAAAUUGCUUUCAAAACUGCUGGCCUUGAGUAGUGCAGAGGUAGGUGGAAUUCCCGGUGUAGCGGUGGAAUGCGUAGAUAUCGGGAGGAACACCAGUGGCGAAGGCGACCUACUGGGCACCAACUGACGCUGAGGCUCGAAAGCAUGGGUAGCAAACAGGAUUAGAUACCCUGGUAGUCCAUGCC